rnacentral:rRNA from 1 species
GGUAAACAGGAGCAGGAAGACGGAGUAAGACGGAGGGGUGAAGCGUGAGCGGGGAUUGUAGAGCGUAGAGGGCGUGUGGGCGGCGUGACGGAUGUGCAGUGAAAACUCGAGGGUCAACCUCGGGAUGACGGCGGAAACCGUCGGGCUAGAGUCCGGAAGAGGAGAGGGGAAUUCAUGGUGUAGCGGUGAAGUGCGCAGAUAUCAGGAAGAACACCUAUGGCGAAGGCAGCUCUCUGGGACGGUACUGACGCUGAGACGCGAAAGCGUGGGGAGCGAACAGGAUUAGAUACCCCAGUAGUC